rnacentral:rRNA from 1 species
UACAGAGGGGGCAAGCGUUGUUCGGAAUUACUGGGCGUAAAGGGCGCGUAGGUGGCCUUCUAAGUUGAACGUGAAAUCCCUGGGCUCAACCCAGGAACUGCGUCCAAGACCGGGAGGCUUGAAUCCGGGAGAGGGAUGCGGAAUUCCAGGUGUAGCGGUGAAAUGCGUAGAUAUCUGGAGGAACACCGGUGGCGAAGGCGGCAUCCUGGACCGGUAUUGACACUGAGGCGCGAAAGCCAGGGGAGCAAACGGG